rnacentral:rRNA from 1 species
GACGAACGCUGGCGGCGUGCCUAAUACAUGCAAGUUGAGCGAUGAAGAUUGGUGCUUGCACCAAUUUGAAGAGCAGCGAACGGGUGAGUAACGCGUGUGGAAUCUGCCUUUGAGCGGGGGACAACAUUUGGAAACGAAUGCUAAUACCGCAUAACAACUUUAAACAUAAGUUUUAAGUUUGAAAGUUGCAAUUGCAUCACUCAAAGAUGAUCCCGCGUUGUAUUAGCUAGUUGGUGAGGUAAAGGCUCACCAAGGCGAUGAUACAUAGCCGACCUGAGAGGGUGAUCGGCCACAUUGGGACUGAGACACGGCCCAAACUCCUACGGGAGGCAGCAGUAGGGAAUCUUCGGCAAUGGACGAAAGUCUGACCGAGAAACGCCGCGUGAGUGAAGAAGGUUGUCGGAUCGUAAAACUCUGUUGGUAGAGAAGAACGUUGGUGAGAGUGGAAAGCUCAUCAAGUGACGGUAACGACCCAGAAAGGGACGGCUAACUACGUG